CCUACGGGAGGCAGCAGUGGGGAAUCUUGCGCAAUGGGCGAAAGCCUGACGCAGCAACGCCGCGUGCGGGAAGAAGGCCUUCGGGUUGUAAACCGCUUUCAGAAGGAACGAAAAUGACGGUACUUUCAGAAGAAGGUGCGGCCAACUACGUGCCAGCAGCCGCGGUGACACGUAGGCACCAAGCGUUGUCCGGAUUUAUUGGGCGUAAAGAGCUCGUAGGCGGUUCAGUAAGUCAGAUGUGAAAACUUUGGGCUCAACCCAAUGCCUGCAUCUGAUACUGCUGUGACUUGAGUUCGGUAGGGGAGUUGGGAAUUCCUAGUGUAGCGGUGAAAUGCGCAGAUAUUAGGAGGAACACCGGUGGCGAAGGCGCCACUCUGGGCCGAAACUGACGCUGAGGAGCGAAAGCGUGGGUAGCAAACAGGAUUAGAUACCCUGGUAGUCCACGCCGUAAACGUUGGGCACUAGGUGUGGGUUCCAACCAACGGAAUCCGCGCCGUCGCUAACGCAUUAAGUGCCCCGCCUGGGGAGUACGGUCGCAAGACUAAAACUCAAAGGAAUUGACGG
rnacentral:rRNA from 1 species